rnacentral:rRNA from 1 species
CGGCCGCGUCGACGCCGCAAGUAGGUGAACUUGAACAAAGGGAGCCCAAAGCGGUUGCAAAAAAUCGGUGGCUGCGACUGUUUAAUAAAAACACAGCACUCUGCAAACACGAAAGUGGACGUAUAGGGUGUGACGCCUGCCCAGUGCCGGAAGGUUAAGGAAGUUGGUUAGGGUAACCGAAGCUAGCGACUGAAGCCCCGGUGAACGGCGGCCGUAACUAUAACGGUCCUAAGGUAGCGAAAUUCCUUGUCGGGUAAGUUCC